rnacentral:rRNA from 1 species
GGGCUUAACACAUGCAAGUCGAGGGGCAGCAUGGUCUUUGCUUGCUAAGGCCGAUGGCGACCGGCGCACGGGUGAGUAACGCGUAUCCAACCUGCCUUACACUCUUGGACAGCCUUCUGAAAGGGAGAUUAAUACAAGAUGUUAUCAUGAGUAAGCAUUUUCGCAUGAUUAAAGGUUUACCGGUGUAAGAUGGGGAUGCGUUCCAUUAGAUAGUAGGCGGGGUAACGGCCCACCUAGUCUUCGAUGGAUAGGGGUUCUGAGAGGAAGGUCCCCCACAUUGGAACUGAGACACGGUCCAAACUCCUACGGGAGGCAGCAGUGAGGAAUAUUGGUCAAUGGACGAGAGUCUGAACCAGCCAAGUAGCGUGAAGGAUGAAGGUUCUAUGGAUUGUAAACUUCUUUUAUACGGGAAUAAACGAAUCCACGCGUGGAUUUUUGCAUGUACCGUAUGAAUAAGGAUCGGCUAACUCCGUGCCAGCAGCCGCGGUAAUACGGAGGAUCCGAGCGUUAUCCGGAUUUAUUGGGUUUAAAGGGAGCGUAGAUGGGUUGUUAAGUCAGUUGUGAAAGUUUGCGGCUCAACCGUAAAAUUGCAAUUGAUACUGGCAGUCUUGAGUACAGUUGAGGUAGGCGGAAUUCGUGGUGUAGCGGUGAAAUGCUUAGAUAUCACGAAGAACUCCGAUUGCGAAGGCAGCUUACUAACCUGUAACUGACAUUGAUGCUCGAAAGUGUGGGUAUCAAACAGGAUUAGAUACCCUGGUAGUCCACACGGUAAACGAUGAAUACUCGCUGUAGGCGAUAUACAGUCUGCGGCCAAGCGAAAGCAUUAAGUAUUCCACCUGGGGAGUACGCCGGCAACGGUGAAGCUCAAAGGAAUUGACGGGGGCCCGCACAAGCGGAGGAACAUGUGGUUUAAUUCGAUGAUACGCGAGGAACCUUACCCGGGCUUAAAUUGCAACCGAAUAUGGCGGAAACGCUAUAGCUAGCAAUAGCGGUUGUGAAGGUGCUGCAUGGUUGUCGUCAGCUCGUGCCGUGAGGUGUCGGCUUAAGUGCCAUAACGAGCGCAACCCUUGCCGAUAGUUACUAACAGGUCAUGCUGAGGACUCUGUCGGGACUGCCAUCGUAAGAUGUGAGGAAGGUGGGGAUGACGUCAAAUCAGCACGGCCCUUACGUCCGGGGCUACACACGUGUUACAAUGGGGGGUACAGAGGGCUGCUACCACGCAAGUGGAUGCCAAUCCCAAAAACCUCUCUCAGUUCGGAUUGAAGUCUGCAACCCGACUUCAUGAAGCUGGAUUCGCUAGUAAUCGCGCAUCAGCCACGGCGCGGUGAAUACGUUCCCGGGCCUUGUACACACCGCCCGUCAAGCCAUGGGAGCCGGGGGUACCUGAAGUGCGUAACCGCAAGGAGCGCCCUAGGGUAAAACUGGUGACUGGGGC